rnacentral:rRNA from 1 species
GAUGAACGCUGGCGGCGUGCCUAAUACAUGCAAGUCGAGCGAAUGGAUUAAGAGCUUGCUCUUAUGAAGUUAGCGGCGGACGGGUGAGUAACACGUGGGUAACCUGCCCAUAAGACUGGGAUAACUCCGGGAAACCGGGGCUAAUACCGGAUAACAUUUUGAACCGCAUGGUUCGAAAUUGAAAGGCGGCUUCGGCUGUCACUUAUGGAUGGACCCGCGUCGCAUUAGCUAGUUGGUGAGGUAACGGCUCACCAAAGCAACGAUGCGUAGCCGACCGGAGAGGGUGAUCGGCCACACUGGGACUGAGACACGGCCCAGACUCCUACGGGAGGCAGCAGUAGGGAAUUUUCCGCAAUGGACGAAAGUCUGACGGAGCAACGCCGCGUGAGUGAUGAAGGCUUUCGGGUCGUAAAACUCUGUUGUUAGGGAAGAACAAGUGCUAGUUGAAUAAGCUGGCACCUUGACGGUACCUAACCAGAAAGCCACGGCUAACUACGUGCCAGCCGCCGCAGUAA